GAUGAACGCUGGCGGCGUGCCUAAUACAUGCAAGUCGAGCGAACAGACGAGGAGCUUGCUCCUCUGACGUUAGCGGCGGACGGGUGAGUAACACGUGGAUAACCUACCUAUAAGACUGGGAUAACUUCGGGAAACCGGAGCUAAUACCGGAUAAUAUAUUGAACCGCAUGGUUCAAUAGUGAAAGACGGUUUUGCUGUCACUUAUAGAUGGAUCCGCGCCGCAUUAGCUAGUUGGUACGGUAACGGCUUACCAAGGCAACGAUGCGUAUCCGACCUGAGAGGGUGAUCGCCCACACUGGAGCUUAGACACGGUCCAGACUCCUACGGGAGGCAGCAGUAUGGAAUCGUCCGCAAUGGGCGAAAGCCUGACGGAGCAACGCCGCGUGAGUGAUGAAGGUCUUCGGAUCGUAAAACUCUGUUAUUAGGGAAGAACAAAUUUGUAAUUAACUAUGCACGUCUUGACGGUACCUAAUCAGAAAGCCACGGCUAACUACGUG
rnacentral:rRNA from 1 species